UCAGNGGGGGUNNNNUNCNNGNNNAGCAGUGAAAUGCGUNGAGAUGUGGAGGAAUACNGAUGGNGAAGGCAGCCCNNNGGGAUAACACUGACGNUCAUGCACGAAAGCGUGGGGAGCAAACAGGAUUAGAUANCNNGGUAGNCCACGCCCUAAACGAUGUCUACUAGUUGUCGGGUCUUAAUUGACUUGGUAACGCAGCUAACGCGUGAAGUAGACCGCCUGGGGAGUACGGUCGCAAGAUUAAAACUCAAAGGAAUUGACGGGGACCCGCACAAGCGGUGGAUGAUGUGGAUUAAUUCGAUGCAACGCGAAAAACCUUACCUACCCUUGACAUGGCAGGAAUCCCGGAGAGAUUCGGGAGUGCUCGAAAGAGAACCUGCACACAGGUGCUGCAUGGCUGUCGUCAGCUCGUGUCGUGAGAUGUUGGGUUAAGUCCCGCAACGAGCGCAACCCUUGUCAUUAGUUGCUACAUUCAGUUGAGCACUCUAAUGAGACUGCCGGUGACAAACCGGAGGAAGGUGGGGAUGACGUCAAGUCCUCAUGGCCCUUAUGGGUAGGGCUUCACACGUCAUACAAUGGUACAUACAGAGGGCCGCCAACCCGCGAGGGGGAGCUAAUCCCAGAAAGUGUAUCGUAGUCCGGAUUGCAGUCUGCAACUCGACUGCAUGAAGUUGGAAUCGCUAGUAAUCGCGGAUCAGCAUGUCGCGGUGAAUACGUUCCCGGGUCUUGUACACACCGCCCGUCACACCAUGGGAGCGGGUUUUACCAGAAGUAGNUAGCUUNACCGCAAGGANGNCGC
rnacentral:rRNA from 1 species